rnacentral:rRNA from 1 species
GGGGGGGCAAGCGUUUGUUCGGAAUUACUGGGCGUAAAGGGCGCGCAGGCGGCCCGGCCAGUCCUACGUGAAAUCCCACAGCUCAACUGUGGAACUGCGUGGGAUACUGCCAGGCUUGAGUCCGGGAGAGGAGAGUGGAAUUCCCAGUGUAGCGGUGAAAUGCGUAGAUAUUGGGAGGAACACCGGUGGCGAAGGCGGCUCUCUGGACCGGCACUGACGCUGAGGCGCGAAAGCUAGGGGAGCAAACGGGGAUUAGAUACCCCGGUAGUCCUAGCCCUAAACGAUGAGCACUUUGUGUGGCGGGUAUCGACCCCCUGCCGUGCAGAAGCUAACGCAUUAAGUGCUCCGCCUGGGGAGUACGGUCGCAAGGCUG